GUCCCUUGUUGCGUCCCCCCUGGUGCCUUGUUGCGUCCCCUACUCCCUUGUAAAAAUAUAUAAAUUCCAAGCUAUAUCAAGUUGUUAACGACUACUUUAAUUCAGCAACCUAGAGAUGUAAUUCUAGCAAUGGAAUCCAGAAUGCUUCUGCUUAAUACUGGUGUGGGAGUGUAGUCUCAGGACAAUAAUGCCCCAGACGGGUCCCUGGUGGUGGUCGUGGUCGUCGUCUCCUGAGUAAAACCAGUUGUCUGCACCAGUAUUCGUCUCACCUCUCCCUUCCCAGAAGUCUUUCAGGGAAAGUCUCUCCAGUUCUCUCAAGACACUAAACGGUUUCAAACUAGUUCUAUAUUACGUCCAACAGUUCUCUUCAAGCGGCACUCUUGUCCUUCCAACACCUUCCACCACUUGAAGUGCCCCAGCUUCCAUUCUCCCCUCACCCCCAGCUUGUCUCCCGGCCUUAAAGGCGACAGGGAACUCAACACUCCAUCCUGUGAAAUACCUGUGAUCCAGUUCAUGUGGAGAAGCGACUAUGAGGGCGGGGCGAGGGCCUGGUGGUGGUCAUCCGGGUACACUGUCUGCACCAACUGGUCUCACUGGAGGGCUCGGGUGACAACAGGGGAGGCCAAGAGGACCGUCUCGGGCUACUGAAGAACAUGUAUAACGAAGGCAUAAAGUGGCAGGACAUUGCCAGCAUGUCGGUCUGUGGGACCAGCCUUUGUUAUAUAUUUUUGCCAGAAAAUGGCCUAGUUUGCUGAAAGGUUAUAUUGUAAAAUAUUAAAAUUAAUUAUAGCACAA
rnacentral:lncRNA from 1 species